rnacentral:rRNA from 1 species
CCUACGGGAGGCUGCAGUGAGGAAUAUUGGUCAAUGGACGAGAGUCUGAACCAGCCAAGUAGCGUGAAGGAUGACUGCCCUAUGGGUUGUAAACUUCUUUUAUAUGGGAAUAAAAUGUUCCACGUGUGGGAUUUUGUAUGUACCAUAUGAAUAAGGAUCGGCUAACUCCGUGCCAGCAGCCGCGGUAAUACGGAGGAUCCGAUCGUUAUCCGGAUUUAUUGGGUUUAAAGGGAGCGUAGGUGGAUUGUUAAGUCAGUUGUGAAAGUUUGCGGCUCAACCGUAAAAUUGCAGUUGAAACUGGCAGUCUUGAGUACAGUAGAGGUGGGCGGAAUUCGUGUUGUAGCGGUGAAAUGCUUAGAUAUCACGAAGAACUCCGAUUGCGAAGGCAGUUCACUGGACUGCAACUGACACUGAGGCUCGAAAGUGUGGGUAUCAAACAGGAUUAGAUACCCGGGUAGUC